rnacentral:rRNA from 1 species
GAUGAACGCUGGCGGCGUGCCUAAUACAUGCCAGUCGAGCGAACAGACGAGGAGCUUGCUCCUCUGACGUUAGCGGCGGACGGGUGAGUAACACGUGGAUAACCUACCUAUAAGACUGGGAUAACUUCGGGAAACCGGAGCUAAUACCGGAUAAUAUAUUGAACCGCAUGGUUCAAUAGUGAAAGACGGUUUUGCUGUCACUUAUAGAUGGAUCCGCGCCGCAUUAGCUAGUUGGUAAGGUAACGGCUUACCAAGGCAACGAUGCGUAGCCGACCUGAGAGGGUGAUCGCCCACACUGGAACGGAGCCACGGUCCAGACUCCUACGGGAGGCAGCAGUAGGGAAUCUUCCGCAAUGGGCGAAAGCCUGACGGAGCAACGCCGCGUGAGUGAUGAAGGUCUUCGGAUCGUAAAACUCUGUUAUUAGGGAAGAACAAAUGUGUAAGUAACUAUGCACGUCUUGACGGUACCUAAUCAGAAAGCCACGGCUAACUACGUG